rnacentral:rRNA from 1 species
UACCAGCACCCCGAGUGGUCGGGACGUUUAUUGGGCCUAAAGCAUCCGUAGCCGGUCAUGCAAGUCUUCCGUUAAAUCCAGCCGCUCAACGGUUGGGCUGCGGAGGGUACUACGUGGCUAGGAGGCGGGAGGGGCAAGCGGUACUCAGUGGGUAGGGGUAAAAUCCUUUGAUCCAUUGAAGACCACCAGUGGCGAAGGCGGCUUGCCAGAACGCGCUCGACGGUGAGGGAUGAAAGCUGGGGGAGCAAACCGG